rnacentral:lncRNA from 1 species
ACUAUGAGCCAGGAUAAACACAUUACUCUCUUCUUUAACAAAAAGAGCAUGGUUAACUCCAAAGACUUCUCUAGACCAGCCUGGAUGGUACCUAAACUUUAAUCAACCAAUGCUCAAGUAAAAGAGCAGUAUCCAGCCCCAGCACACCUAACUGUUUUGCAUAACAUAGUGCUCCUGACUGGAGAGCCCAGGCUGAGAUGGUGUUAAAUGCUUUUACCACGUGGGCUCCUGGCACCAAAUGAGCAAGAUCUCACCCCACAGGCCUUGGAAACCUGAGGCAGUAUUCUUCUGGGAUGUUUCCAACUAGGCUUCCCAUGAGGAUGUUAGAGCCAGCCUGGCUGGUGAAUUUUACUUCUCUCACCUCUCAGAGGUAAGAGGUCUGAGAGGCUCAGGCCCUUCCAGCUUUUGAGGAUUCCAGCAUAGUAGAAACAUAAAAAGGUCCAAAGGGAAUUACAAAAAUAAUCUAUUUUCAGUUCUUAUACUUAACAAGUCAAUUCUUAUUAAAAAAAUAAAUCAAUCAAACUUUUGUUUGAUAUAAUUAUAGAUUCCAAGGAAGUUGUAAAGAUAGUACAGGAGGUCCCUGUGCAUCUUUCACCCAGUUUCCUCCAGUUUUAUGCCACUAGAGUACAAUAUCCAAACCAGGACAUUGACAUUGGAGCCAUAUGCAUGUAUAUUUCCAUGUCAUUUUAUCUCAUGUGUAUGCUCAUGUACCCAUCACUUCAAUCAGGUUAGAGACUAGACCAUCCCUCAUGCUGCCCUCUGAACUACCAACCCUAACCCGUGGAGGUCAUUAAUCUGUUCUUUAUCACUACAAUUUGGUCAUUUUGAGAAUGAAUAAAAUCACACAGUAAUGCAAGCCUUUUGAGACUAGCAUUUUUUCACUCAGCAUAACAUACUUAAGAUCCAUCAAUAAUUCUUCCAUUUUAUUGCCGAGCGGUAUUCUACAGUAUAGAUAUACUAAAGUUUAACUCUUCAUCUAAGGUAGGACAUUUUGGUUGUUUCCAGUUUUGGCUAUUACAAAUAAAGCUUCUAUGAGUAUUCACCUACA